rnacentral:rRNA from 1 species
CCGUUGCCGGCGACCGGCGCACGGGUGAGUAACACGUAUGCAACCUGCCCGUGGCAGGGGGAUAAGCGGGGGAAACCCCGUCUAAUACCGCGUAACGCGGCCUUGGGGCAUCCCAAGGCCGCCAAAGGGAGCAAUCCCGGCCACGGAUGGGCAUGCGGCGCAUUAGCUAGUCGGCGGGGUAACGGCCCACCGAGGCGACGAUGCGUAGGGGUUCUGAGAGGAACGGCCCCCCACACUGGUACUGAGACACGGACCAGACUCCUACGGGAGGCAGCAG